ACCUUUCGGGGUUGAGUGGCGGACGGGUGAGUAACGCGUGAGAAUCUGCCUUUAGGUCCGGGACAACCACUGGAAACGGUGGCUAAUACCGGAUGUGCCGCAACGUGAAAGGGGAAACCCGCCUGAAGAUGAGCUCGCGUCUGAUUAGCUAGUUGGUGAGGUAAAGGCUCACCAAGGCGACGAUCAGUAGCUGGUCUGAGAGGAUGACCAGCCACACUGGGACUGAGACACGGCCCAGACUCCUACGGGAGGCAGCAGUGGGGAAUUUUCCGCAAUGGGCGAAAGCCUGACGGAGCAAGACCGCGUGAGGGAAGAAGGCUCUUGGGUCGUAAACCUCUUUUGUCAGGGAAGAACACAAUGACGGUACCUGACGAAUCAGCCUCGGCUAACUCCGUGCCAGCAGCCGCGGUAAUACGGAGGAGGCAAGCGUUAUCCGGAAUUAUUGGGCGUAAAGCGUCCGUAGGUGGCUAGUCAAGUCUGCGGUCAAAGACUGGGGCUUAACCCUGGAAAGGCCGUGGAAACUGACGAGCUAGAGUGCAGUAGGGGUAGAGGGAAUUCCCGGUGUAGCGGUGAAAUGCGUAGAGCUCGGGAAGAACAUCGGUGGCGAAAGCGCUCUACUGGACUGCAACUGACACUCAGGGACGAAAGCUAGGGGAGCGAAUGGGAUUAGAUACCCCAGUAGUCCUAGCCGUA
rnacentral:rRNA from 1 species